AAUGAGCCGCCCUUUUUCUUUUUCUUCCAGAAUCUCUUUUGACCGUUGCCCCCCAUCCUCCUCCUCCUCCUCCGUUCACUCUCCACUUCCCGUCUCUCUCCUUCUUCCUCCGUCAUCCGCCGUUUCUCCCACCCCAAGCUACGCUUACUCCUCUCCGCCGCCGCAUUCCCGCUAACAUUAUCCACAUCCCCUCCUUUUCCACCUCCUUCGUCCGCUCCCAAAUUGAUUAAGCUAGCUAGCUGAUUAGCGCUUUCUUCCAUCGAAAUACUGUAACCAUAUCGCUUCUCAUUGCUCUCUGCUCUUUGCUGUUAAUCUUUCACUGAAUUUGGCUGAAAACGGAUUUACUUCCAUCACUUGGUCUCUCGGCGGGCUGCCUUGGAUUCUCCUCUACCUACGUACGUUUAUCAUUAAAUUAUUUUUUAGUUUUACAUUUUAUAAUACUAUACUAGUCUGCUACUACUGACGACAAUCUCGGUAUGUAUGCUCGUUAGGGUUCCGAUCAAAGUAAAUUAGCAGAUUCAGUAAAUAAGUAGAGAGGGUAGGAUUAGGAAUUGAUUUUGCUGUUGAUUUUACAAAGGAAUACUACCAGUCUGCUUUAAUUUAACUCAUCAUUCUCUUCCACAAACAAAAUUCAAUAAUAAAGUGUGAUUGUUCCUGUGUCUUUAUGCUCUUUUCUGUUCACAUGACAAUACCAAGGAACAUUUUGUCACAAAAGAAAUGGUUUGUUUGUGUUUGGUUCACACUUCACAUGACGAUUCAUUAACUAAGGAGGAGGAAUCAGAUUUUAUUAUAUACGUACAUACAUCAAUACAUACACCUUUAAGCUUUAAUAGCUCCUUCCCAUUCUCAUACCAUGUGAGUGACACAGUCAAAUAUUGAUGCUACUUUAUAGACUUUUCAUCACCUCCUUGGGGCCUUUAUGUUCCUCCCUCUUGCUGUCUAGUAACAUUGUCCUUAUUUUUCCUACCUCGUAAUUGGGAAAAUUCAUCAUUCUGGUCUAUGCUAGUAGAAACCCUUCUUCAAUCAUUCACUUCACCCUUUAGUUUUCUCCUUUUCCCCAUUUGAUUUUGGCAUUGUCCUCCAUAGGGUAGUCUCUUUGUUCUAUGAGACAAAGAAAACUAGUUCACUCUCUUAUCUAUUACUUGGAAAUGAAGAAUAGCACCUUCAUCCUUGCUCCACCCUUUUCCUGGUUUUGUUUUCCUCUCAAAAGUGUUUUCCUUGCAUGUUGAGAAAAGAAUGUAAUGUGCUACUGGUUCAAGAGAUUUGAUCAUGGAUGUCAUCUGUUCAUUGUAGGGUUUGAUCAAUAGUAGUGCAG
rnacentral:lncRNA from 1 species